rnacentral:rRNA from 1 species
AUGCCUUUAGGGUAUGACUGCCCAUGCAAACCCGGAAUGAAAGGCGACGGGGAAGCAGGAACCUGCCGAGAAAUAUUCCCCCUAGUAGCAACGAUGGUUGUGGGUGUUGUAGGUGGUUUCUUUGUCAUGGCAAUUCCGCUAUUUCUCACUAUUCUUUGCAUAGAGAAAAAGAAGACGAGGGAGCUUUACCGAAAGAAUGGUGGGCCUAUAUUAGAGAAGGCAAACAUGAUAAAGCUUUUUAAAAAGGAGGAGCUCAAGCCAAUCUUGAAGAUUAAAAACUUAAUUGGAAAAGGUUACUUUGGUGAAGUCUACAAGGGCCUUCUUGAUAAUAAACUGGUUGCAGUGAAGAAACCAAUAAGUGGUAGUGCACUAGAGAAUGAACAAUUUGCCAAUGAAGUCAUCAUCCAAUCUCAAGUCAUCCACAAGAACAUCGUCAAGCUCAUAGCUUGUUGCCUAGAAGUUGAUAUCCCAAUGCUUGUCUAUGAAUUUCUCCCAAAAGAUUUGGAUGUGUGUUUAAGUAUUGCUGCAUCAUCAGCAGAUGGUCUUGCUUAUAUGCAUAAAACCAGUACCAAAAUCCUACAUGGGGAUGUUAAGCCGGUAAAUAUACUCUUGGAUGACAACUUCAUGCCAAAGAUAUCAGACUUUGGCAUAUCAAGAUUGAUUGCAAGAGACAAACAACACACAGAUGCAAUCAUUGGUGACAAGAGUUAUAUGGAUCCAGUAUAUAAGGUAACAGGACUACUCACAGAAAAAAGUGACGUCUACAGUUUUGGGGUCGUGAUUUUGGAACUUAUAAGUAGGAAAAGGGCCACAUAUUCUAACAACCAUAUCUUGGUAAGGAGUUUCCUUGAAGCUCAUAAAGAGGGCAGGAGGGCAACCAACUUGUUUGACGAAGAAAUUGCAGCGACAAGUAAAUUAGAACUUCUUGAUAGUCUGGCAAGAACAGCUGUUGAAUCUCUUAACCCCGAUGUGGAUCAAAGACCAUCAAUGAUAAGAGGUUGCAGAGCGCCUUCUCCUACUAAACCGAUCUCAUAG